GUGUUUCUCAAGUUUUGAAACGUUUCCAGUCCAUAUACCCUUGAUAAUAGUACCAGAAUAGAUAAGAGAUUGAAGUGUCCUGCUGUUUACCUUGUGUCAUGGAGCAUCCCCACUCCGUUUUGCCAGCUGCAUCAUGGCACAUGUCACACAUUGUUGCGUGCUCAUUUCUGUAAUACCUUUUGAGAUGUGAAAAUUCACAUUUAAAGUAAUGACCUAUAGCAAAUGAUGCCCAGUAUCUUACCACCCUCCUUCCUGCAUCUUUACCUAACUUUAACAUCCAGGAACCCUUAGGUUUUUUUGUUUCCCUUCCCCAGAAUUAGACGUUCUUCAUCCAUGCCCACUGCUGGGAAUCGGAGCGUGAACACGCACACACACUGUUGAUAGCUGAAAGGAAUGUGUUUGUAUUACUCAGGCAUUAUCUUGGCAAAUAGAACAUGUUGGCUUUGAAAUCUGUGUGUUUGGCCAUAAUUUCUCUGUUUUUCAGUUUCAGGUGCCAGCUGACCUUUUCUGAGAUCACUGAUGGGACUGCAGAGACUGUGGUUUCACUGUCACCUUUCUAAGCGGGACUCCUGCAUGUACAGCAAUUCCCAAAAAGAUGACGGACUUUGCUGUCAGAGGUGAAGUACCAAACAGAGAAGAAAGCAGAAAAUGAGGAGCUGAUGGAAUUUUUGACCACAGGGAUGCACACAACAGUUGAAUUCUGAUUCUCCCGUCUGCUUGCACACUUGUUAAAAAUGUGACCUUGAAAACAGAAGAGGAAAAGAAGAAUUGUAAGUGUCUUGGAAGUCUCCUUUUCUUGGCGUAAACCUGUAAUACAUGUCUUUAAUAAAAGAAUCAGGCUAUGAGGGUGGACUUAUUCAUUUGCUUGUCUUUUGAGCUAUGAAUCUUUCAUCAUUCUGGAAAAUUAUUUCAAGGAAAAAGCUAUAAAUUGUGAAUUUUAGGAGUGCAGUGAGAAUGUUACUUCAGAGCUUAAAAAUUAUUUUUCCAUUUAGCUGAGUCGAAAAAACUACUUAACUCUCCUUCUCAAAAAUUGAAGACUCCUUUGGAGGUAAGUUGAUUAACUGGGUCCAAAUAUGCUCUCAAGCCACUUGCCGAACAACUUCUUAUUUCCACUGAUUUUUAUAGGGUGUCUACGUAUGAAAAUGUUUUAUGCAAAAGAUAAAAAGGUUAGAUUUCCCCCAGUUCACCUGACCUCUAGUAAGGAAUGGGAGAAAUCAACAGACUGAUACUGCAGUUGCAAUGUGCACUUUGAGUGGUGCAGUCUAACUUUACACUUCUGCUGGUGUCCUUGGCUGAGUCGGUGGAGAUGGGUUCAGGAAAGCUUGUGCAACCCUUUUCU